UACGUAGGGGGCAAGCGUUAUCCGGAUUUACUGGGUGUAAAGGGAGCGUAGGUGGUUUGGUAAGUCAGAUGUGAAAGCCCGCGGCUUAACUGCGGGACUGCAUUUGAAACUAUCAAACUAGAGUGCAGGAGAGGUAAGUGGAAUUCCUAGUGUAGCGGUGAAAUGCGUAGAUAUUAGGAGGAACACCAGUGGCGAAGGCGGCUUACUGGACUGUAACUGACACUGAGGCUCGAAAGCGUGGGGAGCAAAC
rnacentral:rRNA from 1 species